UACGGAGGGUGCAAGCGUUAUCCGGAUUCACUGGGCGUAAAGGGUGCGUAGGCGGCGCGGUAAGUCGGGUGUGAAAUCUUGGAGCUUAACUCCGAAACUGCAUUCGAUACUGCCGUGCUUGAGGACUGGAGAGGAGACUGGAAUUUACGGUGUAGCGGUGAAAUGCGUAGAUAUCGUAAGGAAGACCAGUGGCGAAGGCGGGUCUCUGGACAGUUCCUGACGCUGAGGCACGAAGGCCAGGGGAGCAAACGGG
rnacentral:rRNA from 1 species